rnacentral:tRNA from 11 species
GGCCUAGUGGUUAAGACACCACACUCAUAACCUGCAGGUCUCAGGUUCGAGCCCAGC